rnacentral:rRNA from 1 species
UACGUAGGGUGCGAGCGUUGUCCGGAAUUACUGGGCGUAAAGAGCUCGUAGGCGGUUUGUCGCGUUGUUCGUGAAAUCUCACGGCUUAACUGUGAGCGUGCGGGCGAUACGGGCAGACUAGAGUACUGCAGGGGAGACUGGAAUUCCUGGUGUGGCGGUGGAAUGCGCAGAUAUCAGGAGGAACACCGGUGGCGAAGGCGGGUCUCUGGGCAGUAACUGACGCUGAGGAGCGAAAGCGUGGGGAGCGAACAGG